ensembl:lncRNA
AAGGGAAGGAUGGAGGAAGUAAUUUUGAGAAUAGACCCAGUCCAGAUCCGAGAGCUGCACGCUCUCAUUGACAUCGUUGGAGAGCAACACUGUGAGCUACAGGAGAGAAAGCCAUCGGUGCUGUCCGGCGAGCAAGAGUUGUUUCCUGACAGUGGCAUGUUCCUCUCAUCGUUCCACCUGGCUGCCAUCCAUCAGGCAUCUAGGCAAGAUUUUUUACAUCUGUUUCAUAUCAUUUUUGACCGUUUUUUCUCAGUGGAAGAAUGUGUCAAUUCAUUUGCCUUUGGACGCCAUGGCAAGAUCCCAGAGAGGAAGCGAGUCCUCGACCAGAAGAAGGUCAGAGGAAUUCUAACCUGUCUUGCGAUGUGCUUCCUUGGAUGGUUGGACUGGAAUCGAUGAAGGCAUUCAUCAACAAGUGUAGGACCAGAGCAGGACAGAGUAGUGACUCAAAUAUUUUUGUUUGUGUACAAUGUUCAUAUUUGCAAUAAGGUUCAUUUAAGAACAUACUGCUAUGUGCUUGGUGUCACAUGUAGGUUAGACUUUUUGUUGACUACAUCUGGUGGGUGACAACUGCCUAUUUUCAUCUCUACAAUAUUAUUUUGGGGUUUAACUAAUACAAGAGUAUAACUACAAGAACUUAUGCUAUAUAUUCAUUGUUUUUACAUUCUUACAGUUAAUGGAAACCAAUCUCAAAUCAAACUUUAUUUGUCACAUGCACCAAAUACAACAAGUGUAGACUUUACCAUGAAAUGUUUACUUACAAGCCCUUAACCAACAGUGGAGUUCAAGAAGAGUUAAGAAAAUAUUUACCAAGUAGACUAAAAUAAAAAGUAACGCAAUAAGAAUAACGAGGCUAUAUAGAGGGGUCACCGGUACCGAGUCAGUGUGCGAGGGUACAAGUUAGUUGAGGUCAUUUGUACAUGUAGGAGGGGGUGAAGUGACUAUGCAUAGAUAAUACAUAGCAAGUAGCAGCAGUGUGCAAAAGGGAUUGCUGGGAAUGAAAAGUGAGAUGCUUUGUUAAUAUAAUAAGCACUGUUGAAUACAUUUGUUGAACUGUAUCAGUUUUCAUUCUUGUUUUGAACAGCUAAUCAUUAAUACUGCAAAUGAAUGCUAACAAAUUCAAUUCUCAACUGUCUCAUCUCAUUAAUCAAGCUGAUGUAUAGCUUCUGUAGUAAUUUUAAGAUAAAUGAGACGAGGAUGAGACGUUGCACAUUCAAUGUAGAGAUCUCCUUUAUGGCUCAUACUACUUAGACAUUUCUGAAAUGAUCCCCUCAGACAAAGAUCA